ACACAGAGUGCCUAGAGGGAAGGAAAGGAGACACAUGGGGUGAAAGGAGACACAUAGAGGGGCUGGUGGAAGAAAGGAGACAAAUUGGGAGUUCUGGGGGAGGAAAGGAGACAAAUUGGGAGUUCUGGGGAAGGAAAGGAGACACAUUGGGAGGCUGGGGGAGGAAAGGAGACACAUUGGAAGGCUGGGGGAGAAUGAGACAUGG